rnacentral:rRNA from 1 species
UCCAGACUCCUACGGGAGGCAGCAGUGGGGGAUAUUGCACAAUGGGGGGAACCCUGAUGCAGCGACGCCGCGUGGGUGAAGGAGCGUUUCGGCGCGUAAAGCCCUAUCGGCAGGGAAGAAAAUGACGGUACCUGACUAAGAAGCCCCGGCUAACUACGUGCCAGCAGCCGCGGGAAUACGUAGGGGGCAAGCGUUAUCCGGAUUUACUGGGUGUAAAGGGAGCGUAGACGGCAGAGCAAGUCUGAAGUGAAAGCCCGCGGCCCAACUGCGGGACUGCUUUGGAAACUGCCCGGCUAGAGUGCUGGAGAGGUAAGCGGAAUUCCUAGUGUAGCGGUGAAAUGCGUAGAUAUUAGGAGGAACACCAGUGGCGAAGGCGGCUUACUGGACAGUAACUGACGUUGAGGCUCGAAAGCGUGGGGAGCAAACAGGAUUAGAUACCCCAGUAU